rnacentral:rRNA from 1 species
GGGGAAUAUUGCACAAUGGGCGCAAGCCUGAUGCAGCCAUGCCGCGUGUGUGAAGAAGGCCUUCGGGUUGUAAAGCACUUUCAGCGGGGAGGAAGGCGAUAAGGUUAAUAACCUUGUCGAUUGACGUUACCCGCAGAAGAAGCACCGGCUAACUCCGUG